UGGGGCGUGUGCUCGAAAGAGAACCUGCACACAGGUGCUGCAUGGCUGUCGUCAGCUCGUGUCGUGAGAUGUUGGGUUAAGUCCCGCAACGAGCGCAACCCUUGCCAUCAGUUGCUACGAAAGGGCACUCUGAUGGGACUGCCGGUGGCGAACCGGAGGAAGGUGGGGAUGACGUCAAGUCCUCAUGGCCCUUAUAGGUGGGGCUACACACGUCAUACAAUGGCCGGUACAAAGGGCAGCCAACCCGCGAGGGGGAGCCAAUCCCACAAAGCCGGUCGUAGUCCGGAUCGCAGUCUGCAACUCGACUGCGUGAAGUCGGAAUCGCUAGUAAUCGUGGAUCAGCAUGUCACGGUGAAUACGUUCCCGGGUCUU
rnacentral:rRNA from 1 species